rnacentral:rRNA from 1 species
AUUGAACGCUGGCGGCAGGCCUAACACAUGCAAGUCGAACGAGUGGCGGACGGGUGAGUAAUGUCUGGGAAACUGCCCGAUGGAGGGGGAUAACUACUGGAAACAGUAGCUAAUACCGCAUACCAUCGGAUGUGCCCAGAUGGGAUUAGCUAUUUGGUGGGGUAACGGCUCACCUAGGCGACGCUCCCUAGCUGGUCUGAGAGGAUGACCGGCCACACUGGAACUGAGACACGGUCCAGACUCCUACGGGAGGCAGCGGUGGGGAAUAUUGCACAAUGGACGCAAGCCUGAUGCAGCCAUGCCGCGUGUGUGAAGAAGGCCUUCGGGUUGUAAAGUACUUUCAGCGGGGAGGCGUUACUCGAAGAAGAAGCACCGGCUAACUCCGUGCCAGCAGCCGCGGUAAUUG